CUGGGGUGAUUGAGUCUAGCUGCUCUUUCAGUGUUCCUGUCAUUUUUUCUGGCUGUUCAGACGAGACUUAGUAUCAGUCCAGGAAGAGAUCGUUCACCAAGGGACAAAAGAAGAUGGGUGAAUUCAGCCUCAGCUUCUGCCAACUCCUGAUGCAGGCGAGCUCUAGAUAUAUUUGCACGAUCAACUCUUCUCCUAUUAUCUGUUUCAAUAUUGUGGUAAAAGAAGACAGAAUGAGAAUGAGAAUCAUAAUCAUUACUUUUGUAUACAAAUACAAGAGAAUACAAGAAAGCUCGUGCCUUCAAU